UCAUAAACCGGAGGAAGGUGGGGAUGACGUCAAGUCAGCAUGGCCUUUAUAUCCUGGGCUACACACACGCUACAAUGGGAAGGGACAAUAGGUUGCGAAGCCGCGAGGCGGAGCCAAUCCAGCAAACUUCCCUCAGUUCAGAUUGCAGGCUGCAACCCGCCUGCAUGAAGUUGGAGUUGCUAGUAAACGCAGGUCAGCCAUACUGCGUUGAAUACGUUCCCGGGGCUU
rnacentral:rRNA from 1 species